rnacentral:rRNA from 1 species
GAUGAACGCUGGCGGCGUGCCUAAUACAUGCAAGUCGAGCGAACGGACGAGAAGCUUGCUUCUCUGAUGUUAGCGGCGGACGGGUGAGUAACACGUGGAUAACCUACCUAUAAGACUGGGAUAACUUCGGGAAACCGGAGCUAAUACCGGAUAAUAUUUUGAACCGCAUGGUUCAAAAGUGAAAGACGGUCUUGCUGUCACUUAUAGAUGGAUCCGCGCUGCAUUAGCUAGUUGGUAAGGUAACGGCUUACCAAGGCAACGAUGCAUAGCCGACCUGAGAGGGUGAUCGGCCACACUGGAACUGAGAAACGGUCCAGACUCCUACGGGAGGCAGCAGUAGGGAAUCUUCCGCAAUGGGCGAAAGCCUGACGGAGCAACGCCGCGUGAGUGAUGAAGGUCUUCGGAUCGUAAAACUCUGUUAUUAGGGAAGAACAUAUAUGUAAGUAACUGUGCACAUCUUGACGGUACCUAAUCAGAAAGCCACGGCUAACUACGUG